CAAAACACAACGGUAAGCUCAAUAAUAUAGUAGUAUUAUUUCUUAAUGUGAAAUAUGAGUAGUCUGCAAGGUUCAUGACAUAAAAUAAGUAAUAGUGCAUUUGAUAUCACAUGCCUCAUAAUGGUACAAGGUACAACACACACAAUGGUUCUUAUUGAUGUAAAGUAAAACAUUAAAACAAUCAAACAAACAUACACACACAAUAACAUGAUUAGACUGAGGGAACUGAACAACACACACAAUGGUUCCUUCUCAUCUGUUAUUCAAAGCAGCAACACAACAAACCAUAUCAACCUCUUUAGAUGGAGAUACUAUUAGGAAUACCUCUGCAAGUCAAUCCUUCCUCACUGGAAGGAUAAAGCAAAGUGUAAGGCAUCUCCACUGGCCCAUAUCGAUUCCUCAACGACUCAUCAUUGUUCCUUUGAGUGAGUUUUUUCUCAAUUUCAGCCAACUUCCUUCCAAACCUCUUGAAAGCCUCUUUUGGUUGGGAAUCAGAAGUCCAAACAUCACCUUCAAUUCUCUCUCCGAGGUAUUGCUCAUCAGAAGCAUGCCUUGACAGGAUCUCUAUAACGGUCAAGUCAGUAAGGGUAUCAUUCUUUGGUGUGAUUGUCCUCAAAUACGCCCUCUCGUAGUUCUUAGCAAGCUCAUCAUACUCAGGAGUCCCUUUCUCAGGCAUGAAUCUCCUGCUCUUAGUUGGUCGGUUAAGGAUGUAUCCUCCAUACGGAUACUGUCCAAAAUUAACAGCGGCAUGAAGCGCUGAAGCUAUCCAUAUGAGAAUGGUGCAGGCUUCAAUCAACUCUGCACGAGUUUUCAUCUUAAACCACCAUGUUGCAUUCUUCAAGUCACCAUGACCCACCUCUACAACUUCUUUCCAAAAUGCUUGGAGCUCGGAAUCUUUUGCAAUAGUUCCAUCUGACUUGUAGUAGAAAUUCACAUAUUCUUCAACCCAUGACUUAAUAGCAGCCCAUAUCUCUAGUCCAUCAGAAGCAUAAGGGUAGUCCUCUAUCAAAAGACGAAGUCCGUAUGGAGCAGAUGGAUCCUUAACAGCCACUCCUCUAGAUAACAUGCAAAGAAGUUAACAUUAGCAUAUAAAAUAUACUUUUGAGAUCUUCUUAACAAAUGGAUUGACAUGAUGUAUAAUGUUUUGUAAGGUUACCUUUUGAUUAGAUCAUUAGGUAGUCCUUGGUCAGUGAAAACCCAAUCCUUGUAAACAACAGCAGACAUUUCCAUAGCAUAAUUUCCCCACAAGAAUGUUGAUUCUAUAAUACCCUCAGCAUUAACCAACACAUUUCUAGCAAGUGCAUUGAUGUUCAUUGUAUCACGAUAAUGUGGAAGUAAAAGUUUGUGAAUAGGAUGAACCACACUAAGAUGCCUAUUUGUAGCUAUGAUAAACGGCUCAACAACAGCAUGAGUGUUCAACCUGUAACAGACAUAUAUUCAUAAAUAUCUCAUGGAUAGAUAAAUCAAUAUAUUUGAUUUUAUAAAUAUUAUGAACGAAAUUCAUACCAAUGGCUAACAAGUUGGUGAUAGCACGAGUCAUUUACAAUAACAAAAGCCUUGGCAAGGAGCCAAAUUGAAGCUUCAACACCUUCAGUUGCAGGCAAGUAAACUUUACUAACAGGACCAAAACUAUCACCUUCAGGAUGUGGUGUACUUAGUUCAAUGGCCAAUGGCUUCAAAGUUCCAUCAUCUUGCAAGAAAAGGAUGGUCCUUGUAGCAUAUGCUUUUGUAUUAGUUGCAUUUAUUUUCCUCAAAUAUGGAAACAAUGGAUCAUGGUGAUCAAGUAUGUACAAUCUGUUGGUUUGGAUAGCCUGUUCCACAAGAUAAAAUUUAUCUAGUGUUGUUGAUUUUUAAUUAUUAAAUAAAAAUAAUAGAAUUCAUCCUUCCAAUGAAGGUUGAAUUGUGUCAUUAAUUACCCCUUGUACCGAGACUCCACCCAUGUUUGGCUCCAACUGUUCUUUGGUUAUUGUACUGGUGUUAUCACCAUAGAGUUGGCUAUCUAAAGAGCUCUUUGGUGGAAAAUUCUACAUCAAAUUUACCAAAUACUGAGUGUUAGUUAACCAUUACAAACAUGGCAUGAAAUUCAGACACAUUUGUCUUUGAUUAAGUUUACCUGAAGUUUUUUGAUGAUGUGUGGAUUGACACCAGCAAUCAUCUCUCUUGCGAAUUCCUCAUCAGUCAUCCAUGCAGAAUGAUCCACUGCUCAUAGUAAAAAAUUUCAAGAGAUACAUCAUUUUUCUUUAUAUGAUUUAGUAUAUAACUAACUAUAUUGCUAUCUAUAAUCGGAAAUUAUGACUAAUACAUGCCUUGAACCACUUUUGGUGGUGGAAAUUUAAGUGCAGAUUCACCGUCAGAUCGGAAGAGUUCCUUGAACAAUGGUAUUGGACUAAUUUUGCUUAGUAUAUCAGUAGGAAGCUUAAUUCCACCAUCAUAAAGCGAGCGCACGUCUUCAAAUGUGUUAAACUCAGGAUUAUUGAGUUGUAAUGUAACUACAGAUCUCAAUUGAGGAAUGAUAUUUUGUGAUGCUGAUUUGAGUAUGUAAACAAGAAAGUCUGACGACUUCACAUGACCAAAUGAUUCAUCUCUUGGAAGGUAAACAAUGUCGCUUCGACUCUCACUCUUAGGAUCUGUUCACAUGUAUAACAAAAAAAAAAAUAUGUUUUAGCAACUAUAUCAAAGAAAAAUUACGAGUGUUUGAAGCUGAACCUUUUCUAGUUGGUUUUCGGCCGGUUCUUCCCCUUCGAGGAUAAGGCAACGUGCUUGAUCCUCCAAGAACCGGACGAGCCAGGGUAGUUUUUUUGUCAGGAGCUCCCAAAUCAUUGUAAACAUCAUAAUCAUAUAUUCUUUCCCAUUCUUUACGCUCUCUAGUUCCAUCUCCUCUUAAAGUCUUUAACUCUUCUUGUCUGUAGAACACUAAUGGAGCCGGAGUUUCACUUGGAAGAUAAGUCUACACAAAUUUACGAAAUUAACGGUUGUGAGUUAAAGAAAUUUAACAGUGAAAAAAAUUCAAUCCUUACCUUGUUGGCAAAGAAGAUGCGACCAGUUUUAUACUUUGUAUAAUUGUAAAUCCAUGAGUUGCAAACAAAGUUGAUGGUUCCAUGGUUUGGAACAUCUUCAAUUGUCAAACUCACAAGGAAGAAUUCACCUUGCAUAAAAUUAUCAAUGUAAAAAGCUCCUGGAAUUCCCAUGUUACUGUUCCAUUCAAAAUAAACACUGAAAGCACAUUGCUUGUCUCCCAAUGUUGGUAUGGAGGUAACAAGACCUUCCAAGAAUGCCGGGUUUGACACUUUUCCUUUUCCACUUGCUAUAAAAAUAUCAAAAACCAUAUUCUUAGACGCACUUUUUUUAUUAAAUAAAGCGAAUAGAGUAUAUAGUAUAUAUAGUGAGGAAAUUUUUUUUUACCAUCGGCAUUGGUACGACUGAUCAACUUGAGAGCGACAGAACGGCCCAAGAAGGCGGUGGCGGUAUCGAGUAUAGAGCCGGUGAUACUACCGAUAGCACCGAAGGCGCCACCGAUGAUACCACCGGGGCUUUGAACUGCGGUGAGAGCAUUAAUGUCCAGCACAUUCUUUUGCAUCAACACCACAGUUCCCUUCAGUUUUUGGCCUCUACCAAACAACAAUGAAGGAAACAUAGUUAAUAGGAUGCUUCUCAAACAGUUUUGUUACACUGUUUUUGGCAAAUGAAAGAAAAGCUUGUGUCUUGUAACCAUCGGUGUGCUUGCUAUUUAUAGUGGUUGGGAUGUGAAGAAAAAUAAUAUAAGUUUUACAGUUUACUUGCGCCAAAUCUAACUAUUCUCACCUUUAUUAACUAAUUAGAUUCUUACGUGUAUGCAUUGCAAGUUACUAUUUGUGAAAUGAGACGUUCCAACUUCCAAUGUUUUAUUGGUGAAAUGAGACGAUCUAAUGUGAAGAUAAUUAGAUUCUUACUUGUUUAUAUUAGAUAAUUAGAUUCUUACGUGUAAAUAUUAAAAGUUACUUAUUCUUAGUUCUUACCUCAAAUGAGAAGCUCCAAUGUUUUAUUGGUGAAUAUUUAGUACUAAUUCUUAACAUCUUUAUAAUGCUAUGGAUGAACUAAGACUAUGGCUUGAAUAUACAUUUCAUGUUAUAAAUAUAGUUUCAUUUUUCAGUCCAUGCAAAUAUACUCCAAUUGGGUUUUGGUCUCCAUUGUUUUAUUUUAGUUCUUUUAAAAUUUAAUUAUAAUAAAAUUUAUACGGCUCUCCCGACUUUUUAGAAGCCCAAAAUAAAUAAUAAAAAUAUAAUAUUUUUAAAAAAUAACAAUUUUGUAUUUGUCAAAUAAAAAGAUGUCACUGCAUUCAUUUCUCUAUCAAAUCCUUUUAUUCGUCAGCAUCAACAUUAGCUAUAUCUACUUCUUCCUACAACAUGAAUACUAAGUCUAAAUAAAUAGUAUAAACAAUAUAAGGAUCAAUUUUGAUGUAGUUAAUCAUAAAUGAAAAUUACCAAAUUAAAAUUAUAAAUUAAUUAUAGUAGAAGUCUUAGACAAGAGAAUAUUAUUACAUAAGCAAGAGUCUUGAAAUGACCUCGCCUAAAUAUAAUAAUGAACGUGUCAAAAAAAUAAGAUUCAUAAACAUUGAAAAUGAAAAAAGAUCAUCAUAUCAUAAAGUUACAAAAGAUCGCGUUAAUCUAUACAGCAUAUAACUCCAUUAGAACAUCUUUUGUUUCAUCUAAGACACCCUUAUCAAAAUUAUCAGAGAGAAAUCUAUCACACUAGAAGGAACAGAAUUUACGAUGGUAUCUACAUUAACAAUAUAUUUUAAACUAAUAAUAACAUAUAAAAUAUUGGGACUAAAUGAAGUUUAAAAACAUUCAAAAUGAUAUGAAAAAUAUAAUAAUGACUAACUGCCAAGGAAAUAUAUAUUAUAAUAGUGACAAUCUAUAAGACAUCAAUAAAAUUGAAAAAUAAUAUGUGAUUGUUAGAUUAUAAUGUUGAGUCUUCAGAACGUUACUCAAAAUUGUAAAAGUAAAUAAUUGCAAAAAAUGUGUAUGACAUGAUGAAAUUAAUAAAGAAAGAAUGAUCUUAUGCUAAAAAUUCUUGAAAAAUCAUACAUGAAUCUUUUAUAUAGUUCACAUAAAUACCUCAUUUCACAUUUACAAAACCAGUAAGAGGUUCAUCGGUAUAUGCGCCUUCAACAUCGUACACAACACAAACAUCGUACACGACAUCGACACAUCAAUAAUGAUAAUAAUUUAAAAAAUUAAAUAAGUUAAACAUAAUCAAACAUUUCACUAUCCAAACCGACCCAAUCAAUCUGAAGACUAUGUUUUAAUUUAAAAAAUAGACAUAAAUUAAAAAUAAUAUAAUAAAAAUACAAUUAUUUAUUAACCAAGUGAAGCAAAAGCAAAACUCAAAAUAUUGUUUAAACUAUAAAAAAAUAUUUCAUACAACUUAAAUUUUUUAAUAAAUUAAAAAAGUCUUUCUCCAAAUAUUUCUUUGAAGCGAAUUCAUGAACUAAGUCAUUAUAUUUUAGUGUCUCCCAAAGAUCAUAAAUAAUUAAUAAAUAAAAUUAAAAAUUAAAAAAAUAGAAAAAUUAACAAUUACAAAAUAAAAAGAAUCAAUGAUUAAAAAUGAAAGAAAAAAAAUUAAGUCUUUAAUUUCAUUUUAAUUUUUAUAUUUUUUAUUCAUCUUUAAAUAUCUUAAAUCAUUAACAUUUAUUAUAAUAAUAAAAAACUAUGCAAAAGUAAUUAAAAAAGUACACUAAGGAUUGAACUCACAAUCUUUACCACCAUUUUAAAAAUCAACCAUCUAGUGUUUAGCUAAUGACAAACUCAUAUUUAUUUUUUAUUUUAUAAUUUAUUUAAUAUAAUAUUUAAUAUAUAUUUUAAUUUUUAAAAAAUAAAGCGAGACCCUUUAAUUUUGAGGUCAUGGGUUAAGGUUGUUUUGCCCUUGCUCAGGACCGGUCCUGCUACUAAUAUAUUGAAUAUUUAGCUUUAAAUAUCUAAUAUUUAGCGAUUUUAAUUUUGUUUGUUUAGUCGAUGGCCAUAAAGUUAAAGAAGUGUUUCUAAGGAACAGUGGCCUAUUUCAUUUCAAUUAAGUUAAGACGGUUCAGUUGAUAGUUAUAUAUUGUAAGUAUAUUGUUUUCCAUCACAGGAAAUGUAUAAAUUAUUAUAUAAUAUUUGACACGUUACCUAUCACCACGGUCUUCUUAAACAUCCGUGGUAAAAUAUUUAUUUACUUUUGUUAAUUUUUUUUUCAUAUAUAUCCCAUAUUUUUGUGUACCUGUAUUUUAUACAUAUAUUAAAAACCUAAAUAUUUUUUACAAAAAUUGAAUAUCACAUUAUUUAAAAUAUAAUAGCAAACUUAAACAUUAAUAUGUAAAUAUUUCAUGACAUAAUAUAUACAUCAUCCCAAUAAUCAUCGAUGCUACCAAAGAUAAUGUUUAACAUGUGUUUCAUGACAUAAUACCCACACUCGUAUCCUUUUUUUUAUUUCCUCGUCUACAUCGUCUACAAAUUUAAAUAUUUCAUGAAUAUAUAAUCGCCGAUAUGCAUGUAACUAUAUAUAUAAAAUGAAUGACACAAGUAAUCCACUUACCAAAGACGUAUAAACUGCGAAUUUUUUUUCUAGAAUUGUUCAUAAUAUAGUGUCACUCCACAACCUUGUAUAUUGAAAAUGAUUUAAAAAUAAUUCACGCUAAACUAAUUACAAAGUCAAAAAAUAAAAUACUAAAAGUAUCAUAAACAUAAACUUACCUAUAAAAAAUUUGUUGCAUCUUAGGUUCAAUUGGGUAGUUUAAGGAACAAAGUGUAAUUACCAUAUGAGUCCGAAGAGAUAUGAUGAUCAAUUGAAAAUGAUUUCUGAAUGAACACGAGCAUAUAUAAUUAGUAUUUGGUAAAACAUGGAAACUUAAUAUAAUAGAGAAACCACAAUUUCAAAAUUACUCACUCAUGGAUAAAUGGUGCUAAGUAACAGUCUUUUUCACCACUUAUUCGUCAUGAUAUGUAUGUUUCACUUGUUUUUGGAGUAUUAUUUGUAAAUUCAAUACUAUAUGGAUCAAAGAAUCCAUAAAUAUCUGAUUUAUUUAAUUCUAAACAAACACAAUGAAUGUACCUAAAUGGUUAAGUGAAAUUCAAAAAUAAGUGUGCAAUAUUAAGGUAGAUGAACUCAUUGGUUCCCUGCAAAUCUUUGAGAUGUCCAUCGAUGAAACAUAAGAGAAGAAGAACAAAGGUAUAACCUUUAUUUUCAACUCUGAAGAAGAUCAAGGUGAUAAAGAAGAUAGGCUAUAAGAUGUUAUAGCUCUUCUUGGGAAAUUUUUCAACCAAUCCUUGAAGAAUCUAGACGGAAAAUAGAGGUCAAAUAUCCAGGAUAAGAGGCCCGACAUCAGUCCCCGAGACAAAGGAAAUAGUGGAAACAACCCCAAUUGGAUCAAGGGUACUCAAUGCUUUGAAUGUGAAGGCUUUUGACACAUUAAAUCAUAAUGUCCUACCUUUUUUUUAAGAAAUAUAAAAAUGGGCUAUCCAUCAUCUGAUUUGAUUCUUAUAAUGAAAGUGAAGGAGAAAAUUCCAAAGAUGUGAUAGCUUACUCUGGAGAAUAUGAGCCAGAAAGUGAGUUCAACGGUGAAGACAUGACGAAUGAGAAGUUAACUGCUAAUUACAAAUUUUUCCUCACCAAGUGAGAGGAAGCUUGCAUGGAAGUGAAAAAGCAUAAGAAAAAUAUAAAUGAUCUCCUACAAGAGAAUGUGAAACAAGCUACUACCAUCACUGAUCUAAAAGAAGAAGUAGCCAUGUUAAACUCCAAGCUAGAAAACAUAACAAAAUAUAUAUGUAUGUUUAACAAUGGGUUUGAUAUGUUGGAUAAAAUAUUGGAAGUUGAGAAAAUGUCCAGAAACUUGAAGGGAAUAGGGUUUGACCACAUGUCCAUGAGCAAGAAGCACACAAAUCAUCCUAAGAAGUUUGUUCCUCCCGAGAACAAAACUGAGUUCCAGAUGUUGGACCACAUGCCGCAGCAUCAUGUACGACAUGUGUAUUUGUAUAAUGGAAAGAAUAUGAACUCUAACAGAAUAUGUAAUCAUUGUGGAAGAUAUGGGCACAUAAUGCCUUACUGUUUUAAAUUGUAUGGUUAUCCUCAACCAUAUUAUCAACCAAGAUCCAAAAGAAAAGGUAAGCAGGCUCGAGGAAAUAAAGUGUGAAAACUGAAGGUUAAAGUCAAAGGCCUUUUAGCUCAAACAUCUCCUAGAAUGUCCUUAAAGAAUGAUUAGUUUCUUGAUAGUGGGUGCUCUAAUCAGAUGACUGGUGAAGAGUAAUUCCUUGAAGAAGUCAAGUCAUUCUCACAAGGAUAUGUAACAUUUGGAGAUGGAUGAAAAGGAAGUAUCAAAGUCAUUGGAAAGGUGGUCAGGCCAAGACUUCCUUGCCUAAAUGGUAUGUUGAAGGUAUAAGGCUUAACUACAAAUUUGAUCAGCAUAACUCAAAUGUGUGAUCAAGGAUAUAAAUUAAGCUUUAACAAGGGUGAAUGUGUUGUCACCAACAAAGAGCAUGAGGAAUUGAUAAAUGGCUCAAGAUCCAAACAUAACUACUACUUGUAGGUAUCUAAGUCAACUUCAUGUGUGACAUUCAUGGAUGAGAAAAAGACAUAUGUGAAUAAACAUAGUGACAAGAUUCCUAAGUAAAGAAUGUCUGACAUGAUGCUAGAACAUCAUGCUCAUUAAUUGGUCUCUAAAAGAGAAAGAAAGCAUGAUGAAAUAGUCAAUGACUUAGUUGGGUGUCAAAUUAUUCAAAUGCAAGCUAGUAUGGACGAUCCUCAUAAUAGAUUUAAAAGUAAGAAGUUGAAAGGAACUUGUAUGAUUUGCGUGAUUGAGAAGUUAUUUCUAAUUAGGCGUGUAAAUAGAAUUAUUCUCUCUCAUGUGAUCACUAUCAUUAUUCAAAAGAGGCAUUAUUGCAUUAAUUGGUAUUUUAUAAUUACUAUUGCAAUUCCUCACCCAAAAAAGGACAAUCUCUCUUGUUUUCCCUAAGCAGAACUUCUCUUUGCUCACUAAUCUAAGCCCUCAAACUGUGUCGAUAAUAAGUUGGAAAAUGGAGAACACCAAGACUACUAAACCCACAACUAUCACAAAUACUCAUGGAGUAAAAGUGUCUAGAGUCAACCUAAAAGAAAACCCCUCCUCAAAGAAGUAUAGGGUUUCUGAAGAAGCAAAUUUGAUGAUAGCAAGGUGACUCAGCCUGUUGUGCCACUCAGGAUGAUUGUGCCAGUCCACAUCUCAACAACUAAAUCCAAGAAAACUGGCCCCAAGAAGAAGAAAGCUUCUAACCCGAUAUGUUCCUCUAAAAACAAACCGUAUGAUCCUUUUGUGGCUGAAAAAAUUGAAAGUUUUACCCAAAUAACCCAUUUUUUCAAAAACAAUUCCCAAAAUACCCCACUUUUCAGAUUAUUUCCCAAAAUACCCCAUUUUGAAGAGGAGGCGCCAAAUGAAUUGGCGUAUGCUCUUAAACUUAGAGAGGAGGCGUCAAUUGGAUUGGCUAGUCCACCUUGUGUUGCCAAUUCAAUUGGCGCACGUGUGGUAAGUUUUAAAGGAGGCGCCAAUUGGUUUGACACAUAUGUGUGUUUCGAUUUAUUUUUUUGAAAAACAUUAUAGAUUAUCGAUAAAGUCGAAAUCGGACCAAUUCAUAUUAAUAUUAAUACCCGUUUACAUAAAAAAGACUAAUGUCAAUGAUCGGGAUCACCUAACCGACCUUCGGUCCCACAUCCCCUAGCUACCCGAACUCCUGGCCCUAACCCAUGUUGAUGAUUCACCCCAGGUGUUUGAGUAUCUGAGGGCCCAGGAACAUCACCACCAACUGCAGGAGAUUGCCUGAGAUAGUCAGACAAAUUAGCAUAGUCUUGUGUAUGCAUCGAAGAGGUACCGUCGUAGAUGAGUUCAUGACCCAUGCCAGAGUAGUUGGGAUGUGUUUGAGUUGUUGGAGGGCAACCAGGACGAUCGAAGGGAGACAUUGGUGUGAAUGAUGCGUCGAGGAAAUGCUGAAAUGAUUUUUGUGGUGUUUGGUAGACAUAUGGUUGUUGAAGGUUUUGGUUUUGAGAUGUUUGGGCUUCUUGGCUAUAGUAGGAGAAGGGACGGUUGGUGUUAAAUGAUCGUUGAGUGUUUUGGCUAAGAUGUCUAUGAUAGGGUGAUACGUUGGAUGCAUAGCGAUGUUGGAUGUCUUGAUGAUGAUCUACUUGUUGGUGGUGGUACGGGGUAUGCUAUUGGUAUUGUGGAUGGGCGUUUGGCAUGUUAGGGUUGUAGGUUUGUGUGUUUGUGGAUCAGAAUUUUUGAUGGAUAUGGGGUUGUGAGUAGGCGGUCUAACAAUGUUAUUAGGGGUUAGAUAUUGAGCCUUCUGGUGUGUAAGUUGUCUGGCGUGGGUCGUAUAGCUACAUAUCCUCGACGAUGAACUCAAAUCCAACCAAUCUGUACCAAGCCAUAUAAUUACGACUUGGUUUUUCUUCAGUUGACAUCACAACGUCAGUUAAGACAUGGUCUUGGCGGUGCUUCUAUUUGCGACACUCAGAUCUAGCGAAGCUUUACCAUGGGUUAAAGUUCCAUUGGUCGUUAACUUUGCAUAGAUGUUAUUCUCCUAGGUUUUCCAGGGGAUCUGGGAUGUGUCGAAGUAUACCGAACUGCAAUUUAACACGAUCACUAUUGCGCAUCUCCACAGUGGUGAAUCUUAUGAUCGGUGUGCAUGCAGUCCAAACGGUUGCGUCUUGUUCGUUGAUUUUAUGGUCAUGAUCCAAAUUUAGAUAUGGACGCCAAAUGAACUGAAAUGUGAACAUAUAUUAGAUUAUAAAUUUGGUUGAAGAAAUUAAUAAUUUUUUACGAAAUAAUUAGGUUAAUGGCAAUACAUCAGUCGGUCGAAGGUGAUCCAAGAGGUUGCGAUACUGGGUAAUUGUUGAAAAGUAUAUUUCGUGUCAGGUUUUUGUUAUCGUAUCCACAGAGAUUGUAAGAUAUCACUGUCGUUCAAUGGUUGAAUUAAUCUUAACUUAAUGUAACACUGGGGUUUUGGUUUUAAUCAAGUUAUCUUGCAUACAAAGUAAUUAAUUGCGGAAAAAGUUAUGUUUUGAUUAAUAUGAGAAAUAUUGUCAAAGUUAGGUUUCAAUGACUACAUUGCUUUGCAUGUAUUUGCUCGGUCACAAUCUUAUAAACUCCUUAGAUGAUAAAUUAUUUCACAAGGUCCUCUCAAUGCGUUUCUCUCGAACACCCAUUGUGAGUUUGCCAUUUUGAUCCAUUGUUCUCUCGAACACAAUCUAUCAAAAUGACAACUUUGGUUCAACCUUAUGGUGAACAAAAUCAUUCGUACUUCUAGCUAACAAACAAGUUUGGAUGAAAACCUAGGUCAAGAAUCGUAAACAUCUCUCGAUCAAAUACCGACACAAGAGUUUUAAAAAUAGAAACAAAGUUUUCAUCAUAUAUUUACCGUUAAAGAGUUUACAUAUGAGGACCUUACAUUUACACCACAAGCUAGCAUCACCUACAUCUAACCUGACAAAUGGAAGACUUAGCUACUCAUUUUCAUGGUACUUGGUCGGCAAGUAAGGAAAGAGGGUUGAUCAACAUCCAAGUCGAAUAAUCGAGUUGGAUGGGAAUCCACCUUCCUUUUUGUGGAAGAUGGUUGCUAGAUGAAGAGAAGAAAUUAGGGCAUAAAAGCUCCCACAAAACAAUGCUGUAAAUAUCUAGGAGAAAGUACAAAAAAUGGAAAGAGUGGUAAAAAUGAGUAUGGGGCCCAAAAGUGGCAACCUGCUACCUUAUAGACAAGUGCAGAACUGUCAUGUUCGCUAGGCGAGCAGAAUGCUCGCCUAGCGAAGGUCAAAUUAUGAGCAAAAAGGCCCCUGCGCCCAGAAAAACAGGGCGUUGGUGAACUGUCAUGUUCGCCUAGCGAACAUACCUUCGCCAGCGAAGGAAACGCUCAAGCUCGCCCAGCGAGGUUGAGAAGUUUUGCUACUGGAAGGCCGCUGGGGACUCGCUAGAGCCUCGCCUAGCGAGUGAGUGUUGCUGCACUUUCACCAAAACAGAAAUGAAAUUCGCUGCAAACUUCGCCUUGAGCUCGCCUAGCGAAUUAAUUGGCUAAUUACUGGAGCUGUUCGCGCAGGAGCUCGCCUAGCGAACCAUUUCUUCGCCAAUCAGCCUCGCCUAGCGACAGGCCAGAUGAAAUGCCCUUUUCUUUGGUUCCUUGCAAAAUUCUCUGUGUCUUUAUUAUCAAUUAAUUCAUGCCUUUCUGCACAAUAACACACACAUCAAAGGCACCAAGCUUGUUUAUCAAUGUAACGCAUUCCAUGUAAAACAAAUGUGAUUUUGACAAUUUUAGCAAGGCAAAAGAGUGAAAGAUGCCCACAUAUGAUAGCUCAAAUAAGCACUUUUGGGCAUCUAACAGUAAUACAGUGUCUAGGACAUCUGUUAUAACUUAUACCACGUGCCGACCAUCUCCACCAUAAAAGUAAAAAUAUUAUUUAGAGAUAAUAAUCGGUAAAGUAAGUAAAUAGAGUCAAUUUUUAAGAACUUACUUUUGUGUGUACGGGAAUGUGAAUGGGUUGUUGUUGAUAGGCGCUAGGGACAGUAGUCGGAACCAAUCCCAUGCUUGGACCAAAACAACACAUCCAGAAAAUGUAGAUGUGUCUUUGUGUGCAUUUUUACACAAAGAGUUAUAAAGAUAAGCCAAAUAAGCGGGCCCCCAAUUGUAACUUCCUAUACUAUCUACAUGUCUUAGUAAAGGUAAGUACAUAACAUGCAUACUACAACCACUACCUUCGGGAAAUAAAAAUAAACCAAUUAAAAGCAUAAUGUAACACCUAGUUUUUAUUAUUCGAGACUCUUCGGUAGAAUUCUCAUCUAACUGUAAGCUGUUAUAAUAUGCCUUAAGGCGUGAAAGGAGUAUACAUUGACCUCUCGAGUUAUCAUCUAACAAAUCAACAUCCAAGAGGUCCAUGCAAAUUGAAUUCGCAUAGUUGGUUUUACCAUUUAUCGCCUUACCUUUGAUAGGAAGUUCCAAUAACAUGUAGACGUCUUCUAACGUCAUGGUACAUUCACCAGUUGGAAACUAGAAUGUGUGUGUCUCGGGACGCCAUCUUUCACAUAAUGCAAGAAUAAAUUUAGUACCCACCAACCAAGACAUUAUUUUGCUUAUAGGUCCAAAAUCAGCAAGUUCGACAUACGGUUGAAUCAUCGGGUCCAUGUGUACAAAUUCGUGGACCCGAGUUCGAAACCUAGAAACAUCUUAAAAAAGAAAAAACAAAAUACGUUACUUUAUAAAAGACAAACAACAAAUUAAGUAUCGUUAUUAAAAAUUAUUCUAUAAAAGUAACACGAGAAUUAAACGCUUACAUAAGUUGUUAUGUUUGCAACUGUCCCUCUGUGCGAUUCACCCAUAGUGAGGAGAAACAUCUUGUCAGAGUAAAUAUAUGAAAUAAUGGUUUUAGCAGAUGAAAGAGUUGUUGUUGUAGAGGAAGAAGUGAUUGUUGGUGAGGAAAAAAUGUGAGACUUGCAUGGAUAUUUAUAAUGAGUGACAUGUAAAGACAUGCAAAACUUUGGAUGCAUGGAUAAUAGUGCUUGCAUGCUAGCUCCAAAUGGUUUGGCUUACACAUGCAAAUGUAACAUGCUAGCACCAAUCAAGCUGGAGCCUCCUAGGCUUGCAUGCAUGGAUAGUCUUCACACAGUCUGGAGCCUGCAUGGUUAUCUGCAUGCUGAGUUACGAGGUUUGUAAGGCACCACAUGGAUUAACGCCCAUGUACAAGGAAUACAUGCUAGCGCAAAUUGGACUAGUGUUAGGGAUUGCAUGCUAGCCACAUCACUUGUCUAUUUAAGUGUCUUACUAUCUACAUCCUACAAUCAACACAAAUUCAUCUGCACCAAAAAAUUUACUUUUCAUCUGCACAAAAAAUAUUACAAUGUCAUAUGCACCAAAAUAUACUAUCAAUGUUCACUGCAACGGUGAGACAUAUGAGUGUGAUCUAUACGAGUUUUGUUUUCAAAAUACCGAUACUAUAUGACUUACGAUCAAGAGAAAUUCAGAUUUCUUGCAUUUGAAAAAAUGAAUUGAAUCCUGCAUAGGAUCUGAUCUUGUGUCACAAAUCACAUAUCAAAAUCCAAUUUUUUUCGAGAACAAUCAAUGCAAAUUUUUCCCGCUAAAGGUACGGGACGAUGAAGAUGUUGAAUAUAUGUUUGUUAGUCACGAACAUUCUGGUUGCAACUCUAUUGAGUUAUAUAUUACUCUUCAACCAAGUAUACCAUCUCAGUAAUCUCAGAUAACUAAUUAAGUUGAAUCUGAUGAAUUUGAUUUAGAAAACUCAGAUGAAGCCAACCUAGAAGCAGAAGCAGAAGUCAACGUCGUUGAUGAAGAAGAAGAAGAGACUGAGACACAGGUCGAUCAUAUGUUGAAUAACAACAUUGAAGAUGACGAUCAUCCAAUGCCAUUACCUCCAAGUCAUGUAUAUAAUCCGCCUCAACAUAUGACAAACAUGGAUCUGCAUGACGAUGAAACAUCCAACAAUGUUUUUUAUAACCCAUAUCCAUGAUCAGAGGGUGAGUUAAAAGUGGGAGACAUGUUCCGCACUAAAGAAUAAUGUGUGUGAGCUAUCAAAAAAAUUCACAUGAAUAACUAUACUGAUUUCACCGUGAAACACACUAAUUCGAGAAGGUAUGUCUUCGAACUUCGUAACAUCUUUUGCAAGUUUCGGUUGGCUGCGUCUCACAAGAAGAGAAGCAAAUAUUGGGAGAUAGCUUCUAUAGACCCACCUCACAGUUGCAUUACAACUAAUGUUGUACAAGAUCAUCGUAAAUUAAACGCUGCAUUAAUAUGUCAAGACAUUUUGCUGCUUGAUAACAAAGACCCAUCAGUGAAGGUGAGUAUAAUAAUAUAUCAUAUCGUCACAAGAUAUAAUUAUACUCUACCUUACAAGAAAGCAUGGAUUGCGAGGACAAAGGUUGUUGAACAGGUAUUCGAUAAUUGGGAGGAUUCAUACAAAGAAUUUCCACAGUUUUUAUGGGCACUAAAAACAUAUGCACCAGGAACUGUUGCAAUUAUGGAGACAUUGCCAACAUUUACGCCAGACGGAACCUGUGUUGCUGGAAAUAGAAUCUUUCACUGCCUCUUUUGGGCGUUUGAGCCGUGCAUCAAAGGUUUUGCAUUCUGCAAACCUAUUAUUCAAAUUGAUGGGACAUGGUUAUACGGCAAAUACAAGGGUACUUUGAUUAUGGUUGUUGCACAAGACGACAACAAUAAUUUAUUUACCAUUGCCUUUGCUCUGGUUGAAGGUGAAACUGCUGGUGGUUGGAGUUUAUUCCUUCGACAUCUCAGAACACAUGUCGCACCACAAACCAAUAUUUGUUUGAUUUCAGAUAAACAUGUUGCCAUUGCGAGUGCUUACAAUAACCAUGACAAUGGAUGGCAUGAUACUCCUUCUACCCAUGUCUAUUGCAUUAGACAUAUCAUACAAAACUGCAUGCGUGCAAUCAAAGACAAGAACCUUCGCAAAAAAGUGGUGAAUGCAUGGUAUGCUCUAACUCAACCAUCAUUUCAACAUUACCAUGACAAAAUUAGAUUCUCUAAUGUAGAUGCAGGAAGGUGGAUGGAUAACAUACCAGUAGAGCAGUGCACAAGGGCAUUUGAUAGAGGCUGUCGAUGGGGCCACAUGAUAACAAACCUUGUGGAAUGCAUGAAUGAUGUAUUCAAAGGCAUUAGAAAUCUACCAAUAACCGCAUUGGUCAGAACAACCUAUUUUAGUUUGACAUCUACCUUCGCAACCAGAGGUGAAAGAUGGAGUGCAGUGUUAAUGUCAGGUCAAAUAUUCAGUGAAUGUUGUAUGAAAGUGAUGAAAGAGGAAAGUAUCAAAGCUAGCACACACGCGGUUACAAUCUUUGACCGUCAUAGGAAAAAUUUCAGUGUACAGGAAAUAAUGGACCACAAUGAGGGGAGGCCAAAUUUAUCGUAUGUUGUCAAACUAAACAGAAGUUGGUGCGACUGUGGAAAGUUCUAGGCCUUCCGUAUUCCUUGCUCCCAUGUUAUUGCGACAUGCACACAUACUCGUCAGGAUGCUUAUAGUCAUCUAUCUGAUGUUUACAACGCCAUUACCGUGAUGAAUGUGUAUAACAAAAGCUUCUCAGUGCUACCAAUAGAGGAAUAAUGGCCUCCAUAUGAAGGUGACAUAGUUUAGCACAACGAUGAUAUGCGAAGAAAGAAAAAAGGACGUCCAAACAACACACAUAUUAUAACAGAAAUGGAUGCGACUGAUAAAAUGAUAAGAUUAUGUAAUAUAUAUCGUCAACCCUGACACAAUAAGAACAAAUGUCCCAAUCUAUCAGCAACAUCUGCAUCAUAAUUUAGUAUGUCCUUUAAAUUUUUGUAACCUUGGAUUUUUGUAUAUCAUUAACUUUUUGUUACAACAAGGUUAACAACAAACAUCACUACAACAUAAGCACACUUAAAAUAGAAGAAGUCCAAAUAAACAACACAAAAAACCAAACAUCGAAUACAAAUGAAAAUACUUAACCAUAAUAAUUAAAAACAACAUUUUUAACUGAUUACAACAAUCAAACUGAUGUCAUCUCGUCCAAACAUCAUUUCCCUAGCAUCCUUAUCAGUUUUUACUCGCACCCAACCAAAUAUACUAUUGAGUCUCUCAAUACUUCUAAUUUUUUUCCCUUCUGGUAUGUUUUCAUCUAACCAACGAACCAACUCCCUAUUCAGUUGAUCCAAACUACAGAUGUUCCAGAAGAGCAUCAAUAAUAGAGGCUUGUCUCUCGAAUAUACCACUUUUCCAUAGCGGCGACGAACACCAAACAUGCUUGCAAUAUGGCGAAAUAAGAUGUGGAAAGAUGAAUCACACAACACCUCUAUUUAUAAAUAAAAAAGUUGCACCUUACACUGAGGCGCCAGACCAAUUGGCGCCUCCUCUUCCAACUUACACAUGGGCGUCAAUUGGAUUGGCAGCACCAUGUGAUGUAGCCAAUCCAAUUGGCGCCCCACUUAAAAUUUAAGGGUAGACGUCAAUUGGUCUGACGCCUAUGCCUUAUGUCUUUUUUUUUUAACCAGGAUAUAUUGGGGAAAUUUUUGAAAACUGGAUUAUUUUGGGAUUUUUUUUAUUUAAAAUAUGGGGUAUUUGAGUAAAAAAUUCAAAAACACUAUAGGUAGAGACCAUAGGGAUAUAACAGAAACAACAUCUGGAAAAAACUAUUGGACCUACUAACAUGCAUAAACAAACUCAUGUCAGACCAAAUGUUGAACCCUUUACGGCACCACAUGGUGAGCAAUCCUCUAAGAAGACUGCAGCUGAUCUACCUACAGUUUAUCACUGUGUGGAUAAUAUCUUACAUGGAAAUAUUUCCUUAUCUGAAGAAUCUAGUGACAUGGAAGAAGUAGGGAAGAAGAUCAGAAUGAAGUAGAAGAAGAUGUUCCUAUUGCAAAAAUUAUGAAAAUGAUCAUUGUUGGUGUCAACAAAUCUUAUAAACAGGUUGAGGAUGUCGUGGAUGUGGAUGAAGAAACAGAAAUAGAAACAGACAAGGAACAUGUUGAAACAAGGUCUCUUGCUACAAAAAAAAUGAGAAGAAUAAAGAAAAAUCUGCAACUGCUAAGUCCCUUAUGAAGGAAACUGUGAUAUCUACCAAAAUGUUUGGAGCAAAAAUGAGUAAGGUAGAAAGUAAUUCUGCUGAGAAGAAGACUCUCAAGAGAAAACUAGUGCCAUCUAGAGACUUUGAGUAUGAUGUUGAAGCAGAUGUCCUGGACAUUGUGCCCUCAACUAGGAAAUAGAUUGGAGAAAGGAAAGUUCUUGUUAAUGUUCAUUCUUAUCCUCUUGACAAUGUGUCCUUUCAUACUGAAGGAAAUGUUCAAAAAUGGAAAUAUGUUUGUCAAAGAAGGGUUUCCAUUGAAAGGGAGAUGAGAAAUAAUGCUCUUGGAAGUCAUGAAGUUCUUAAAUUACUCAAGGAAUCUAGUUUGAUAAAUACAUUGAGCGAUAUUGGACCAUGCUAUGAAAAGUUGGUUAAGGAAUUCAUUGUCAAUCUCUCUCUUGAUUGCAAUGAGGAAGGAAGUGAGGAAUUCAGUAAAGUGUAUGUUCGAGGGUGUUGUAUGGAGUUCUCCCCAGAAGUCAUCUAUGACUAUCUAGGUAGGACCAAGUUGGCUGAAACUGAUGAAUUUCCCUCCUUGGAAAAAAUUGCUCGAGUAAUUACUACAAAUCAAAUCAAGGAACGGCCAAGAAAAAGUCUUCUUUCUGCUGGUAAUUUGAUUUUGAAGGAUACAAUGCUUAAUAGGAUUGAUGCAGUCAACUAGGCUCCCACCAACAAUAGCUCAAGCAUAACUUCUGGUUUGGAUAAAUUGAUUUAUCAAACUGGAACUAUGGCAAAGAUCAAAUUUGGAGAAUAUGUAUUCGACAAAACCAUGAAACAUGCAAAUUCUUUUACAAACAAGCUCCCUAUUUCUUUUCCUUACUUAAUCACAUGAAUCAUUCUGAAACAACAUCCAAACAUCAUAAAGCCUGCAAAUGUGAAGAGUAAGAAAUAUGUUCCUCUGACCUUUGAAUAUAGGUUAUUUGAAGGGUCUCAUGUUCCAAGCAUUGAUCUGAAUAAGAUCCAAUGUCAAACUCCUAAUGAAGGAUCAUCUAUAUUUACAAAAACCACCAAACUAAUUAUGUUAUAUGAGCUAGUGGAAGUUUCAAAUGCUCUGCAAGCUUUAAUCACUAAGAGUGGAAAUUAAAAAAAAAAGAGCAAGUAGAUGAGUUGAUCAAACUGAUUCACAAUGUGAAGGAGUUGGAAGAAGACAUUUGUCAUGAAGAAUGAGAUUCAUACAAUGAAUAAGAGGAAGAAAGUUAUGAAGAAUAAUUACUUGGAGAGGCAGAUGCCUAUCACAAUGAGCCGGACAUCUGGUAGGGCAAGGGCAUAUCUGCUGAAGUUGGAUAUUGAACUAUUUUUUCCCUUAGUUUUUGGUUUUUUUGUGGUGUAACGAUUAAUUACUUUAUACUAUAUCUUUAACAUUUGGUUUUAAUGCUACUAGGUUGUUCUUCUCAUGAUAUGGCAGUGUAUGUUCUAACAUACUAACUUAUGCAAUACUGACCCCUGAGUGCUAUUUUGUUAUACUAACCCUAUAAAAAAUUAUGGAGAAAAGGGGGGAGUAGUAUGGUGUUGUUGAGGUAAUAAAUACUUGUUUACUACUGACCAUAUGGGUAGGUACUAAUGAUGUGCUCACAUGCUAGAGCAUCGGGUAAGAUAUCUGACCCUUUUGAAGUGAACAUUUGUAUUAGUAGUAUUUUGCAUAUAUUAAUAUUAACUACUAGUUAUCUGUGUUAUCCAUGACUAAGUAUGUGAAUGAUUACAUGUUGAUAAUUGUUAGUUGGUAGGAUUGUAUGCUAUUAACUAUAAGCUAACUGAUUAUCAUGCAUGACUAACUUAUGAAUGAUUGCAUAUUUUCCUGAUUGAUUUUGGAGUAUUAUUUUGUGUGGCAUUUGUGAUGAAUGCUACUGAUUUUCCGCACAUAUGCUAUAACUUUGAUGAAUGUUGCUACGUGUAAAAUUACAUUCUUUGAAAAUCUUCUAUUGUAUGUCACUUGUUCUGAUUGAAUGAGUAUUAUCUAUCUUAAAGAAUUGUUUUGCCACAAUUUUCUAAAGGGGAGAUUGUUGUUCCUAUUUGGAUUGCCUGUAUUUUGAAAAAUAAUAACAUGGAGAAGUGUUCAAGUUUGCCAAGCUACUUCAAGAUCAUUUUCUGGUGCAGAAGAGACACAAGAUGGACGUGAUGUCACAACAUGUGGGUACGAUAUCUGGGCCUUGCUCAACAGGCCAAAUUGUUUCAUUUUAGGACGAAUUUUCUGUUGAAGAUUCAAUUAGAUUUUAUUGCUUUUAUUUAGCAAUAUGAUUAUAUGAUUUGUUAGAUAGUUGUGAAGAUCAAAAUUCAAAUAUGAUUUAAAUUUGAAUUUGAAACAAACCAACUCAUAUCUUUAUGUUGGAGAUAUAUAUUGGACAAAUCAUAACCAACAAAUUGUGCAAAGACUCUGAACGAAAUUAAAUUAAAGAUCCAAGGAAAAAGUCCAUAAUACAUUUUAUAUAUAAUGAGCUCAAAACCUACAUUGAAAAGCAUAAUACAUUUUAUAUAUAAUGAGCUCAAAACCUACAUUGAAAAGCAAGCAAUAUAUUGAAGAUAUUAGGGUGCUAGGAUUUCUUUGAUUUCUUGUUAUUGUUGUAUGUACACCACACUAUUUUUCAGUAAUUUGGCAUGAUUGUAGGUUUGUCUAGUUGAGUUGUAAAUCAACAUUAAACAUUGUGAAUUAAAGUUGAUCACCAGGGUUUAAUGAUCGAAAGAAAGUGAAAUUUUAUUCAAAUAUUAGUAUCUAAAAAUUAAUAUGAAUAAAAUUUAAUAUUUACACACUUAAAAAAACUGAUUUGAGAGUGUUCUAAUGAUUAUGAAUGAGGGAUGGGCUUACUCUCUACCAUGUCGUCGUGUACAAAACAUGAACAUAAGUAUCACCUCUUGCUUCUUUUUUCUCUACAACUCUAUUUUUUCACUUCUUCUAAAACAGUGAGAAACUCCACAUUUCACUUCUUUCACCGGAUUUCAUUCUUCUUUUAAAAGCCACCUCGCUUUUAAAAUCAAUAUGGUUGUGUAUAGUAGAAUCAUACAAUCAUAAAAGCCACCUCGCUUUCUUAACUACACUUAUGGAUUUCAAUUGACAUAUGUACCUCCAUUUUCUAUCUGACUCAAUUAUGCUUUAGAAACUUAUGAAUCAAAUACAGUGCUUGUUUAACCAUUUUUAAAAAAAAUUGUAAAGCUUUGGUAUGAAUACAAUGUUCUCUGCUAAAUAUUAUCCUUUAAUGCAGCUUGCAGUUACUUGUUUGGCUAGAUAAUUAAAAUUUAGAAGGGUUUAUUUGAAAGCUACUUUAUAUAUUUUUGUUUAUAUAUAGAUAGUAGAUAUAUUAUAUAUAGUGCAAGAUUCAUGACAUAAAAUCAGUAAAAGUGCAUUUGAUAUCAUACAAGUACAACCGAACAGACAUAGUAGUUCUUAUUUGAUGUAAAGUAAAACAUUAAAACAGUCAAACAAACAUACAUAAUAACGUGACUACAAUGAGAGAAUAGGACUUCUUCUCAUCUUUUAUUCAAAGCAGCAACACAACAACCAUGACCCUUUUUAGAUAGAGAUACUAUUAGGAAUACCUCUGCAAGUCAAUCCUUCCUCACUAGAAGGAUAAAGCAAAGUGUAAGGCAUCUUCACUGGCCCAUAUCGGUUCCUCAACGACUCGUCAUUGUUCCUUUGAGUGAGUUUUUGCUCAAUUUCAGCCAACUUCCUUCCAAACCUCUUGAAAGCCUCUUUUGGUUGUGAAUCAGAAGUCCAAUCAUCACCUUCAAUUCUCUCUCCAAGGUAUUGCUCAUCAGAAGCAUGCCUUGACAGGACCUCUAUAAUGGUCAAGUCAGUAAGAGUAUCAUUCUUUGGUGUGAUUGUCCUCAAAUACGCCUUCUCGUAGUUCUUAGCAAGAUCAUUAUACUCAGAGGUUCCCACCUCAGGCAUGAAUCUCCUGCUUUUAGUUGGUCGGUUAAGGAUGUAUCCUCCAUAUGGAUAUUGUCCAAAGUUAACAGCGGCAUGAAGUGCUGAAGCUAUCCAUAUGAGGAUGGUGCAGGCUUCGAUCAACUCUGCACGAGUCUUCAUCUUAAACCACCAUGUAGCAUUCUUCAAGUCACCAUGGCCUACCUCUACAAGUUCUUUCCAGAAUGCUUGGAGUUCAGCAUCUUGUGCAAUAGCUCCAUCUGAUUUGUAAUAGAAAUUCACAUAUUCUUCAACCCAUGACUUAAUAGCAGCCCAUAUCUCUAGUCCAUCAGAAGCAUAAGGGUAGUCCUCUAUCAAAAGACGAAGUCCGUAUGGAGCAGAUGGAUCCUUAACAGCCACUCCUCUAGAUAACAUGCAAAGAAGUUAACAUUAGCAUACAAAAUAUAUUUUUGAUAUCUCAUUAACAAAAGGAUUAACCUAAGAUAUAAUGUUUUGUAAGGUUACCUUUUGAUUAGAUCAUUAGGUAGUCCUUGGUCAGUGAAAACCCAAUCCUUGUAAACAACAGCAGACAUUUCCAUAGCAUAAUUUCCCCACAAGAAUGUUGAUUCUAUAAUACCCUCAGCAUUGACCAACACAUUUCUAGCAAGUGCAUUGAUGUUCAUUGUGUCGCGGUAAUGUGGAAGUAAAAGUUUAUGAAUAGGAUGAACCACACUCAGAUGUCUAUUUGUUGCUAUGAUGAAUGGCUCAACAACAGCAUGAGUGUUCAACCUGCCACACAUGUAGGUAGAUGUUCAUGCAAUUAGUCGUUUAGAUAUAAAUUAAGUUUGAUUGAAUAAAAAUCAUUAAUGAAGUCCAUACCAAUGGCUAACAAGUUGGUGAUAGCAUGAGUCAUUUACAACAACGAAAGCCUUGGCAAGAAGCCAAAUUGAAGCUUCAACACCUUCACCUGCAGGCAAGUAAACUUUACUAACAGGACCGAAACUAUCACCCUGUGGAUGUGGUGUACUCAGCUCAAUGGCCAAUGGCUUCAAAGUUCCGUUAUCUUGCAAGAAAAGGA
rnacentral:lncRNA from 1 species